GGAAAAACGAGGUAGUUAUGUGGUGUUUUGUUUGUGAGAUGGGGAAUAGUGUCAUUUUUUUGUUACUGAUACAUUGAAUAAGGUGUUGCCGCAUUUCAUUUUGUCGAUAGACACAACUCUGAGGGUCUAUACCAUUGGCCAGGGCCGUCGCAUUGGCAAUGGCAUAAAGACCACAGUCUGAGGAGCCACUUUGUUUUUUAACUGGAACACAGUUCACUUUUACUUGAAUGAAGCCAUUCUCAGCUAGGAGAAACGAUAAAAUUCGCUCGGAAUUUUCCGGAAGUUUUGAGUACACUGAAUCAUAAUAAUUCAGGCAGCACUCUGAAUCAUUUUCAGAUGGAAUGGAACUGACAACUGCCCAAUGGUGUCUCGUGAGUUGAUAGCAAGUGGACUGUAGGCCAUUCAAGUGAGGAAAACUAGCUUUUAGUAAAAACUGUGCAGCCGAUAUGUGGACAUCAGUGAUCCUUCUUUCAUUUGCAAUAUCCAAUUUAUCUUUUACUUUUAAAAGAUCACCAUCAAUUAUCAUAGGGUUUGAGGCUGAACCAGAAGUUGAUGCUUGACUGGGCAUGAGAGAAGUCGAGGUGCUUUUUUCACAAGCUGAGGCAAUGUAGUUCAUACACUCUGGAGUAACUUUAAAUUCAUUGGUUAGUGAAAGGAGGGCUGAUUUAAAACCUAGUUCUUUAUCUUGAACUAGAUUUUCGAUGUACCCUA